UGUGGGAGCAGGCUUGCCUGCGAUGGGGUCACCUCGGUUUUCAGUUAGACCGAGGCGAUUCCAUCGCAGGCAAGCCAGCUCCCACA
rnacentral:antisense_RNA from 1 species